UUUAUUUGUAAAUGAAGGUAUGUCUAACAAAAAUUACUGAGAUAAUCAAAAUUCAUCACAAUUUUCAUUGUUGUUCUUAUAUUAGCAUACUUACGCCUAUCUAUAGUUUCAGAUUGAUGAACCAUCAAUCCAUUUGAUUAAAAAGACCAUUUAUAGACCCAUUUUCACAGUGCUUCUAUAUGCCUAUAGAGGGAAGAUCACAGAAAAUGACUAAAAAACCUGAUCAAAGUCUCCAGAAGCAGUAAAAUUUUAGUUCACUGCCAACAAGUAUGACCCCAGACAUGAUGAACCCCAAGAAUGGCAUUUGGGGCAAGUAUAUAUGUAUGAACAUGUGAAAAUGAUCAGAGAAAGCUGGAUAAAUUACUCUGUGGAAGCAUCAGUGCCACAUUACACAAAGGAAGUGAGCUUGGCAGAAGCAAGUAUUCCUGCAUUCAGAAGAAACUGGAAUAUCUAAAUCACAAGUCACUCAGCAACUUCUCAGGAAGUAUCUGGGAACCAUCAGUGAAUUUGCUGCUGGGAAGUAUAAAAGUUCUUCUUGGAUCCAUAAAAUAUGAAGAUGACAUCAUCUUACUAAAUGCUCAUGUUUAUUUGAUGGUCUUUCAUGAUCUGAAGCCUUUUAUUUCCUUCAUUAAGCAGAAGAAAAUGCAAAGUGAAACAAGAACCAGGGUCAGAAAAAGGCAUUAUUUAGACUUAAAUCCUUACAAGAGGAUCCCACAUUGA
rnacentral:lncRNA from 1 species